AGAGUUUGAUCCUGGCUCAGGAUGAACGCUAGCUACAGGCUUAACACAUGCAAGUCGAGGGGAAACGACAUCGAAAGCUUGCUUUUGAUGGGCGUCGACCGGCGCACGGGUGAGUAACGCGUAUCCAACCUGCCCACCACUUGGGGAUAACCUUGCGAAAGUAAGACUAAUACCCAAUGACGUCUCUAGAAGACAUCUGAAAGGGAUUAAAGAUUUAUCGGUGAUGGAUGGGGAUGCGUCUGAUUAGCUUGUUGGCGGGGUAACGGCCACCAAGGCUACGGUCAGUAGGGGUUCUGAGAGGAAGGUCCCCCANAUUGGAACUGAGACCACGGUCCAAACUCCUACGGGAGGCA
rnacentral:rRNA from 1 species